AAGGCUCGUUGGAGUUGAGUUCAUCGACAGCGAAGGUACAUUUAAGUAGAAAAUUAUAAAUAUAAAUGAACUAUUAGAUACGAAUAUUGAUUACAUUAGGGGACACAUGCAGGGAAUUUCAACAUCAACAAAAGGAAAGAGACCGAGGGCGAGGCGUAAAGAUAUGCAAGAUGGUGGAGUCGACAUUCAGCAUGCGCCGAAACAACAUUACUUGGUGCAUCCACCGAUGUCAUUUGUUCAGUAUUCCAUGCCAACACAAUUUCCAUUCCCACAGUAUUCAUCAGCUGCACUGUUCCCCCACACAGGCGUCUUACAAUCUUCAAGUUUUAUUCCUCCGUUGUCGU
rnacentral:lncRNA from 1 species